rnacentral:tRNA from 1 species
GACUUGAUACUUUAAAUUAAAAGAUCUGAUUUGCAUCUAGACAAUAAGUUUUAUAAACUUUCAGGUCA